rnacentral:lncRNA from 1 species
AUUUGUGAGUGCCACACCCAUCACCAUCGCUAAUGCUGGACUAAUUCCUUUUACAUAAAGGUAAAAUUACAAAUAUCUUCCAUACUAAGUUAUCCACCGUUGGAUCCAUCAUUUUUGCGGUGUUGUACGCUUCUAAACACCGGAAUGGUCAUUACGCUAACUCGGUGGGACAUACGUGUGACCCCACAGCUGGGUACCCCUCCUUACUCUGGGUAGGUUUCUGAGGGUUGGCGGACGGGUAGUGAGUAUGGAAAGGCAGGUAGAUUUGGAUCUGUCAAGAUGGCUCGUUUCAUUUAACCCGCUUGAGACUUCAUGUCUCUGGUGACAUGAAGCUGUAGUUAGGUCUGAGAGGCGAGAUGAAGAUGAGGGAGUGUGAAUAAGAGAUGCGCUUGAUCGCCAUUUCCUCGUCGCCGACCUCUUGGCGGUGGCGCUCCUAGCCCUCUCCGAAGGGCUGGCCUCCGCCUCCGCCCCUGCCGCUUCCGUCGUUGGUCGUCGAUCCUCGUGUCCAGAUCAAGGUCCGCGAGGUCGGCAACCGGACCGCCAUGUCCAAGGCGAAACCGAUGUCGGCGUCGUCCAGCUCAAGGAGUACUGGGAUUACGAGUCCAUACAAUGAGGUAAGCGAGAUUCCCAAUCCCUACCCAAAUUCUGACCCUAAUUCCUUUCUUUCGUGUUUGGGUUUGAUAGACUAUGUAGCGAUGUUGGGGUUACAUGAAAUGGUUAACUGAACUGCGGUUCAUGGAGAUUUUUGUUUUUUCCUUCGGUGAUGAUUUCUUGAGUAUAGAGGAAACCUAUUUCGUGUGCUUCAUAUGUAGUUGAAUCGAUCUGCUGGUUUCUAUACUUUGACGUGUUUCUUGGAUGAUUGUUAGUUUCUUGGCGUUUUCAUGUUUCAGAUUCUUAUUCACAGUUGAUAACCAGGCCCUGAGAAUCUUGGGCUUGUCAAGAAAUUCCGAGAUAUGAGGAUAUUGGUUCUCGAUUUGUAAUAUAUGGAUCUCUGCCGCCGUAGUCUCUGUUAGUCUUGAUCGGGUUAUUGCAGUCCCCACUGUCGGUGGGGCAUGUGAGGUUUCGAAGCCUUACCCAAUCCCUUGCUCUGAUUCGUUUCUUUUUUGUUUGGGCUUCAUAGAUUAUGUAGCGAUGCUUGGGUUUACAUAAGAUGGUAACCUUUUCAUUGGAUUUCUCUAGCUAAAGAUUAAAGUUGCAAUGGAUUUAUAUUUUGAUGAUUUCUUUAGCAUUUCACGUACCUACUUUGUAUACUUCACAUAUAGUUCAAUCAAUCUGUUGGAAGCUAUACUUUGGCAUGUUUCUUGAAUGGUUGUUAGUUUCUUGAUGUUUUCAUGUCUCAGAUUCUUAAUUACAAUUGAUAAGCAGGCCCUGAGAAUCUUGGGCUUACCAAGAAAUUCCGAAGCAUAAGGAUCUUGGUUCUUGUUUUGGUGAAGAAUUGAUUUGUAACGUAUAGAUCUUUUAUGCCUAUAAUUCUUCAUCGAGUUAUUGCAGUACCCAAUCGGAAACCUUGCCCAAACCAUGUACCUAGCUAGUUCCGAUCCUUUUUGUUUGGACUUGAUAGAUCAUGUAGCGAUGUUGGGGUUAACAUCAGAUGGUUAACCUUUUCAAUAGAUCACCUUGGAUUUAUUUUUUGAUGAUUUCUUUAGCAUUUCACAUACCUACUUCUAAUACUUCAUAUUAUGGUUGAAUCAAUCUGAUAUCUUUCUUUGGAUGAUUGUUAGUUUCUUGGUGCUUUUAUCGUUCGGAUUCUUAUUUAUAGUUGAAAACCAGGCCCCAUGAAUUUUGGGCUUUUCAAGAAAUUCCAGGUUAUAAGGAUCUUACGUCUUGAUUGGACGAAGAUUUGGUUUGUAUUUCGGGGAUGUAUGAUGCUGCCGUAAUGUCUGUUAGUCUUCCUCGAGUUAUAUUAUUAGUCCCCAUCGUCCGUAGGGUAAGUGAGACUUGCAAACCUUGCCAAACCCUAACUGUGAUCGUUUUCUUCUUUUUUGUAUGGGCUUGAUGGAUUAUGUGGUAAUGUUGGUGUUAUUUGAGAUGAUUAACCUU